UAGGGAAUCUUCCACAAUGGACGAAAGUCUGAUGGAGCAACGCCGCGUGAGUGAAGUAGGGUUUCGGCUCGUAAAACUCUGUUGUUAAAGAAGAACAUAUCUGAGAGUAACUGUUCAGGUAUUGACGGUAUUUAACCAGAAAGCCACGGCUAACUACGUGCCAC
rnacentral:rRNA from 1 species